CCUACGGGGGGCAGCAGUGGGGAAUCUUCCGCAAUGGGCGAAAGCCUGACGGAGCAACGCCGCGUGAGUGAUGACGGCCUUCGGGUUGUAAAACUCUGUGAUCCGGGACGAAAGGGCAGAGUGCGAAGAACAAACUGCAUUGACGGUACCGGAAAAGCAAGCCACGGCUAACUACGUGCCAGCAGCCGCGGUAAUACGUAGGUGGCAAGCGUUGUCCGGAAUUAUUGGGCGUAAAGCGCGCGCAGGCGGCUUCCCAAGUCCCUCUUAAAAGUGCGGGGCUUAACCCCGUGAUGGGAAGGAAACUGGGAAGCUGGAGUAUCGGAGAGGAAAGUGGAAUUCCUAGUGUAGCGGUGAAAUGCGUAGAGAUUAGGAAGAACACCGGUGGCGAAGGCGACUUUCUGGACGAAAACUGACGCUGAGGCGCGAAAGCGUGGGGAGCAAACAGGAUUAGAUACCCCGGUAGUC
rnacentral:rRNA from 1 species